rnacentral:tRNA from 1 species
UCCUCCAUAGCUCAGUGGUAGAGCGUCCAACCGGCACCUGGAAGGUCAUGGGUUCGAUUCCCGUUGGAGAGCUCAGAA